CACACGUGAGGCAAGGCAGUGUUGUGGGCACUGUGGUCUGCACCUAUUACCCCUCCCACCCUUUGCACCUGAGCAGCUGCCGUGCCAUGCGCAGUUGGUUUGUGGGCUUCUUCCAGUCAUGUGACUGUUUUGGGACUAGCCAAUGAGGUAUGAGAAGAGGAGAGCGGGAAGCCAGGUCUCCCUGACUUCGGAGAGAUUUGAGGGAAUCCAGCGAUUGGUGCCCUGACACGUUCGAUAUGGAUGAAGAAUACAGAAGGAAGAGUGGGCUGAGGGGAGUUGCAGGGUGGGACUGAGCACUCCCAGUCCAGCAAGAAGAUUCAGGCCCAAGAUGAACUUCCACAGAGUUCCUGAAAUCAAGGUGGACACACACCACUGCCUCCUGGUCAACCGGACAGGAACAGAAGUGUUAGGAGUUGUGCCUCCCAAGCCUGGGCCAUUAGGACCCCUGGAAAAUAACCUAUUGUUCUCCCAGUAUGAAUGGCCCAAGGCAGAGGACUCCCGAUCAGUACUACCCAAGAGCUUUCUGUGUUGAUAGAAGUAUGUCAUAUCUGUGCGCCUGUCCCAGUCAGCAGCCAUCCUGUGGAGCACUUGACACACAGCAAAAGCAGCGGAAGGUUUAACUGAGGUGACUUUUAACUAAAUUAAAUAUAAUACAAACAAUAGUUUCCAUAUUGGACAAGGUAGAAAGAGCCACGUACCUACCUCAUGAAGGACUGUCUCCUAACCUGCUGGAUUAGCAAGAAAGAAACUUACACUGAACCAAGCUGGGGGACAUGAGGGUUGUUUGUUUCAGCAGCCAGCUGAUAUGUCCUGACCAAUACACUCAGACUUACU
rnacentral:lncRNA from 1 species